rnacentral:rRNA from 1 species
CGAACGCUGGCGGCGUGCUUAACACAUGCAAGUCGAACGCGAAAGGGACUUCGGUCCUGAGUAAAGUGGCGCACGGGUGAGUAACGCGUAGAUAACCUGUCUUCAUGUCUGGAAUAAUACGCCGAAAGGGGUACUAAUACCGGAUAUCUUGCUUUUCAUAAGUUAUGCAAGCAAAGGUGGCCUCUGCAUAUGCUACUGCAUGAAGAGGGGUCUGCGUACCAUUAGCUAGUAGGUGGGGUAAUGGCCUACCUAGGCGACGAUGGUUAGCGGGUCUGAGAGGAUGAUCCGCCACACUGGCACUGGAACACGGGCCAGACUCCUACGGGAGGCAGCAGUGAGGAAUAUUGCGCAAUGGGGGAAACCCUGACGCAGCGACGCCGCGUGAGUGAGGAAGGCCCUUCGGGUCGUAAAGCUCUGUCAAGAGGAAAGAAGUGUACAAUGGCUAAUAUCUGUUGUAUUUGACGGUACCUCUAAAGGAAGCACCGGCUAACUCCGUGCCAGCAGCAGC